GAAUUAUAUGCAUAUGUAUGCUGACUAAAAUAGAGAGAAUAUUCAUAUGCGGUUUAUGUGAAGAAAUCGUGAGCAGAUUGGAAGUAAUAGAGAGCCAUUCUUGUGUAAUAGGAUAUGCAAAAGCAAUUUUUAACGAAAAUUUCUCUAUUUUUAUGCUCAAUGCAAAUAUAUAUAUCAUAUUGUGGAGACAUUGUAUGUCGAAGCAAAGUAAAUGGGGAAAAUAUUAAUAUCGUUGAGAACCCACAGUUUCCUGUCGAAAAGUCUACAAGAUGACAUCAGAAAGCAAUAGAUGAAAUUCUGAUUGCAGAGGUAUAUUUAAGGGAAUCUUUGUGGAAUCAGAAUGUUGUGAUCGCGAGAUAGAAGAACAAUGGAUAAGCUGUAGCAAGAAGCAAAGCAACAAAAGAAGUAUACUCUAGUGAAGAAUGCAAAAGAAAAUGGAAAAAUCUCCAUGAUCAUUUUUUUAUGCGGAUUAUUUCAGCGGAGAAGCUGUGAAAUGGGGGCAGCAAAUCAGUCGAAGAAAAAUAAAUGGCAUUUCUAUGAGUCAUUAAAUUUUUUGCAUGACACAUUAUUAAGAAGAGAGUGAAUACAAGAAAAAAAUUUUUUUAAUUUUCAGAAAAUAUGUUAAAAAACUGUAUCGCCAGUCUGUAAUAACAACGUAAAUAUCAAAGACGAAGAAGAAAAAGAGGAAGAAUCUGUACAAGAUGUGAAGAUGAUAUCCCUAAAAUAGCAAAAAGCAAAGGAUAAACAGAAACUCAAACCAAGAUAGUAUUAUCCUACAAAUAAGGCAUUACACGAGCCGCCGCCGACAAUUUCUUUGCUAUCAAUAAUCGGUAACGAAUGAAGAAGAGCAUUUCGGAAUGAUGAUUUCCUUCAACUUCGUCAAUUUCCAAGAUUUCGCAGGAGACAAUUAAUGUUGAAAAUACAUAAAAUAUUAUAUAAAGAAUUAAAUA